GACGAACGCUGGCGGCGUGCUUAACACAUGCAAGUCGAACGAUGAACUGGAGCUUGCUCCAGGGAUUAGUGGCGAACGGGUGAGUAACACGUGAGUAACCUGCCCUUGACUCUGGGAUAAGCGCUAGAAAUGGCGUCUAAUACCGGAUACGAGCUUCAGCCGCAUGGCUAGGAGUUGGAAAGAAUUUUGGUCAAGGAUGGACUCGCGGCCUAUCAGCUAGUUGGUGAGGUAAUGGCUCACCAAGGCGACGACGGGUAGCCGGCCUGAGAGGGUGACCGGCCACACUGGGACUGAGACACGGCCCAGACUCCUACGGGAGGCAGCAGUGGGGAAUAUUGCACAAUGGGCGAAAGCCUGAUGCAGCAACGCCGCGUGAGGGAUGACGGCCUUCGGGUUGUAAACCUCUUUUAGUAGGGAAGAAGCGAAAGUGACGGUACCUGCAGAAAAAGCACCGGCUAACUACGUGCCAGCAGCCGCGGUAAUACGUAGGGUGCAAGCGUUGUCCGGAAUUAUUGGGCGUAAAGAGCUCGUAGGCGGUUUGUCGCGUCUGCUGUGAAAUCUGGGGGCUCAACCCCCAGCCUGCAGUGGGUACGGGCAGACUAGAGUGCGGUAGGGGAGAUUGGAAUUCCUGGUGUAGCGGUGGAAUGCGCAGAUAUCAGGAGGAACACCGAUGGCGAAGGCAGAUCUCUGGGCCGUAACUGACGCUGAGGAGCGAAAGCGUGGGGAGCGAACAGGAUUAGAUACCCUGGUAGUCCACGCCGUAAACGUUGGGAACUAGAUGUGGGGGCCAUUCCACGGUCUCCGUGUCGCAGCUAACGCAUUAAGUUCCCCGCCUGGGGAGUACGGCCGCAAGGCUAAAACUCAAAGGAAUUGACGGGGGCCCGCACAAGCGGCGGAGCAUGCGGAUUAAUUCGAUGCAACGCGAAGAACCUUACCAAGGCUUGACAUAUACCGGAAACGUCCAGAGAUGGUCGCCCCGCAAGGUCGGUAUACAGGUGGUGCAUGGUUGUCGUCAGCUCGUGUCGUGAGAUGUUGGGUUAAGUCCCGCAACGAGCGCAACCCUCGUUCUAUGUUGCCAGCACGUUAUGGUGGGAACUCAU
rnacentral:rRNA from 1 species